rnacentral:lncRNA from 1 species
CUUAUUUUUCACUCAGCAUUUUGUCUUCGAGACUUGCCAUAUUAAUGCAUUGAUCUACCUCUUCUUUUUAAUCAUUACAUAGUAUGCUAAUAUCAUAUUUCAAUACUCACUUUUCUGUUGCUUGCCAUAGAGACACUUUCCCAUUCUCUGAGACUGUGAGUGCUGCUCUGCCUUUCACUGGGCACCUGGAAACCUUCUUUUCCAUGUUCAUUCUGACAAGUGAGAGUUUUCUCUAUAAUUGAUUCAUAAAAGAACAAAUGUUACAGAAAAGGUUAUUUUAUUUUUGUUUUAAUGACUACCCAAAAUUCUGUUUCUAUUAGCACCAGUAGUAUACCAGAGAGUCUUUUUCCCACACUUUCCCAACACUUGAUAUUGCCAAUCUGUUCAAUAUUUUUCAAUUUCAUGGCCAAAAAUAGUAAAUAAUUUGCACUUCUAUCACCUAGUGUUUAUGCACCUGCUAAUGUAAGACAGAAACAUCGUGAAAUGCUUAAACAUGGUUUUAAAAGUUGUUAAGUAAGGAGAGAAAGAGGUAUCUCAACUUAUUAAGGCAGUUUUUGUUAAUAAAAUGGUGGAAACGAUAUUGUCUUCCCCACAGGGUUGGUUUGAGAGAAAGGAGAAAGUCUUUGUACAAGUGUUUGAGCAUUAUGCAAAUAUUACUUAUUUACCUAUUGUUAUUGUAACUUUUGAGUUACUAUAGUUUGAUGCAUUUUGGGGGGAAUGAAAUGAGACCAAAUAAUUUUUUCUUCCAGUAGAGAGCUAUACUCUGUUUCAUUCCCUUCCUAUUGACUAGUACAGAAACAAAUAGCAGCAAAGCGAGGGCCAUGGAUGAUAGUUUGAGAGUGACUGGAAGUUUUUAUUAUUAUAGAAACCAUUAUUAAGCUUUAAGACUUAGAAAUAAGAUAGUAGGAAAAAAUGUGUCUUAAAACUACUCAUUAUUUACUAAAACAUUAGAGAAAGCUACAUUUCAAGGCUGUGACUCCUUGAAAGCUAGUGGACUAAGCCCACUGAACGUCUACAUCAUGCCAGUCAAUGCAUAAGGCACCAAGGAUGUAAAGAUGUGAGAAACUGUUCCUAACAGGAGAAAGACAUACAAUUGUAAUAUGAUAUGUUGCGCCAGAUUGUCUAGGUAUAACAAUACCAUUCCUGCUCCCUUCUAGACUUGUCCUGUACACAAGAUCCGGAAGCCUGAAAGCUACACUUCCAUUAUGUCUUAUCAACAACAUUCCAGUUUAAGUCCCACCACUGAGAGGCACUCAUAUGAGCUUCAAGAGAGGAUCUGUGCCCAAGGCCUCAGAUAGAGAGACCUGGAAUGAAGGACUAGUAUGGGAAUGCAAGCAUGUGAAAAGCCUGAUUCCUCUGUUGCAUCUCCCUUCAGAGGCUGCCAUGCAAGGGCUGUGGCUGUGCACUAUGCAUGGACUGUGCAUCUCAUCUGGGGUGGGGAGGGCAGCUUUGCCCCUGAGGCCUGCCAGCUAGAGCCUUUGUCAUUGCCUCUGGACAGGCCUGAAAGCUCACACAUUGGUUUUUAACCAGGAGUAAACUUCUCUGAAGGAGCAAGAUUGGCAGUUUGCUAAAAGGCAUAUAGAUGGACCAAUGUGAAUGGACAUAAACCACAAGGAUCUUUGCCCCUCCCCUAAACACUCAACAGAGUAUCCACUGCAGAGUGGCACUCAGCCAGCAGGAGGAGAAGACUUGUCCUAUGGAUGUCAGCCAGCCUCUCUCUUUGGCCACCAUUAUGCUUGGAAAAUGGGCCCAUGGAUAGAGACCGCAUUGCCUCAGUGUUUUGGCUCCCUCUUGCCAAGCCUAAUCUAGUUAUUGAUACUGGUCAUCGCCUGACCUUCCAGCAGCAGUAAUGGAUGCUGAACCCACAACAUGGAAUCAUUCCUCAGGGAGACCAUAAAGUCACCUGGUGGCAAGUUGAUAACAUUGGCCCCUUCUGCGCUGGAGGAAGCAAGGAUUUGUUCUUGUUAGGGGAGGCAACUGCUGUAGACUCUAAGCCUCCCUGCGUGUUCUUGCUGGGUAUGACAAGAAUGCAAGGCCCUCACAGCUCUUGCCAGGUCAUUUAUCAAGGUUGUGUUUGCAGUAAUCAACCUUGAGAGAUGAAGUAAUAUCUCCCUCCAAGACAAAGAGAAGGUUUGUUUAUUGCUUUCUAUAAAACAAUGGUUUCCCAAGCUGCAUAUUCCUCAGUUGUGAUACAAACUUACUACAUCUAUCUGUGCCCUCUAUCAUACCCCCAUGAGACUUGGAGACAGGGGAGCUGACAUAUAUCAUGCUGCUUGCUGUGCUGGGAGUAAAAGUCUUUGUCUCUGAUCUAAGAGUCUUAUAUCUUCUGCCAGAAUCCAUAAAAUAGUAACAGGUUAACUUAUUACCUUCAAAAGUAAGGUAAAAUCUAAUUCCAAACCUAACAGUUUUUACCAGAAUUGCGAUCAAUUCCUGAUAUACACUUGCCUCCUCCACCUGUAGUACCGCUCUAUAAGCACCAUGAACCAAGGCGUCAUAGAAUGCCUGAACUAUUGACUUGGUACCCUGUACAAAAUUGCCUUAGAUCAAGGAACCUUUUUAACAGAAACGGAGGUACCAAAAAAUGACAUGACCAGAGCAUCUGCAGUUCUUAUCACACACCCCCUUAUUCAGAGGCAUUUGGUUUAACAGAAUGAUGGUCUGUUAGGUAAGGAGCCAGAUUAGGCUCAAAACCCCAUGGUUCUGGGAUACUUGCCUCUAGAAUCUGCUAGACACAUUGGACCAUGGAUGGAUAUAGAGUACUACAUCCCCCAUAGCUUGAAUGCCUGGGACCUGAAACCCAGUUGUGCAAGUAGAAAUGGACCUUCUCCCCAUCCCUCUCAGUGUCCUGUUUAUAGAAUCUAUGCUUCCCUUCCAGCAAACUUUGGCACUGCCAGGUUAGAAGUCUCAGUUCUUUGGGGAAAAACUUCAGCCAAAGGACACAAUAAGGGUUCCAUUGAACUUGGAGCUAUAACUACUACCAAGUCGUUUGCGGUGGACCAGCAAACUUGGAAAGGAGUUAUAUUAGCAUGGAAGUAAUUCACCCUGAUUCACAUGAAGUUCUACGGUUUUUUUUUUUUUCUACACAAUGGGGCAGGAAAGAAUAUGUUUAGAAUCCAGGAGAUACACUGGGGCAUCUCUUGGGAAUUCCACGCCCAGUGAGAAUGAUAAAUGGGCAAUAACAAGUACCAGAGCCCAGUAAAAGCAAGGCAACCUAGAAGCCUGGAUACCUUAAGGAUAAGAAUUUGAGUCAACCAUCAGGCAAAUCCUCCAGGCCAGUUCAGUGAUGGCUGAGUAAAAGGGAACUCUAGAAUGGAUGGUGUAGCAGAAAGAGGAUGAAAAUCAAUUACGGUCACAGGACCAGCUACAACUUUAGGAACUGCAAUUUACUUCACUGAUCUUCUUGCUUUAGUCUUCUUAGAGAUGUGACUGGCUACACCUUGCAAUAAACUCUAUGACAUUGAACUUACACUUUUUCUCUUAAGGAAUAAGUGAGACUAUCUUGUUCUAGCAAAAACGGAAGCUUAAAAAUUAACUGGGCAUGGUGGUGCACACCCAUAGUCCUAGCUACUCAGGAAGUGAGGCGGGAGGAUGGCUUGAGCUCAGGAGUUUGAGGCUGCAGUGAACCAUGAUCACACCAUUGCACUCCAGCCAGGGCAACCGAAUGAAACCCUGUCUCUAAGAAAAUAAAAAAUAAAAAUAAAAUUUUUUAAAGGCAGCUCCAUAUUUUCAUUGUGGUGCUAGAAACACUAGAGAGUGCAACUGAAUCUGAGUGGCGCAAGGGGCGGGCUGCAUCAAAUACUCCUUAGGCGCCACAUCAGAUCAUUUUGGCCUCACCCCUCUGAGGUCUUUGGCUUUUUCCACUUACUCUGAAGAACUUCUUGCAGCCACACCCAAUAGCACCUGUCUCAUGCCAGUGCCACAUACUUUUUG